CCUGACCAAACUGAUUAGCUUCUAUGAUGAGUGUCUGAAUACCUGAGUGUCCCACUGCACAAACAGUACAGAUGAGAUCUUCCUGAAGAUUUAUUCUCUUCCCUGCUUCACCCAACUACGGCUUCGUAUUUUAACAGCUUCCCUAUGACUGAAGAACAGAUUAAUGGGGCAUCCAUGAAGGAUCGAAGUGGAGAAUCUGCACUAAUCCCCUAGGAGUUGGCAGUACAGGGACAGAUGAAAGGAAUGAGUUGCACCAGCUACACAUACAGGGUGCUCCCGCACCCAAGGGUUCUGCAGGACCACCCGAACAGUGCAGGGGUACAAACAGCAGCACCUGGAGGCACUGCGAGCCCUGCACCGCACCCUCCAGA